rnacentral:rRNA from 1 species
AUUGAACGCUGGCGGCAGGCUUAACACAUGCAAGUCGAGCGGGGGAAGGUAGCUUGCUACCGGACCUAGCGGCGGACGGGUGAGUAAUGCUUAGGAAUCUGCCUAUUAGUGGGGGACAACAUCUCGAAAGGGAUGCUAAUACCGCAUACGUCCUACGGGAGAAAGCAGGGGAUCUUCGGACCUUGCGCUAAUAGAUGAGCCUAAGUCGGAUUAGCUAGUUGGUGGGGUAAAGGCCUACCAAGGCGACGAUCUGUAGCGGGUCUGAGAGGAUGAUCCGCCACCCUGGGACUGAGACACGGCCCAGACUCCUACGGGAGGCAGCAGUGGGGAAUAUUGGACAAUGGGCGGAAGCCUGAUCCAGCCAUGCCGCGUGUGUGAAGAAGGCCCUUUUGGUUGUAAAGCACUUUAAGCGAGGAGGAGGCUACUUAGAUUAAUACUCUGGGAUAGUGGACGUUACUCGCAGAAUAAGCACCGGCUAACUCUGUGCCAGCCGCCGCCGUAA